rnacentral:rRNA from 1 species
AUGGGAGCUUUCCCUUCACCGCCCCCAUAGGGGUGGUCCACAGGGUUCAUAACUACCCUUCUUACUAUGGGGCGUUUACCUAGCCAACACUUAGAUCCGGCUCUACCCAAACUUUUUUGGUUCACCUCAACAUUACCCACUUGCCCGACUGUUGCUAAGCAGUUUUGGGAUACUAAACGUACCCCAGAUGGUAAUCUUAAAGUGGCCGAUUUACCCUCUUUUGCAAUGAGUUUCUCUACAACACCUGCCGCUCUAGCUAAUUGCCCACCCCUUCCACGUGUGAUUUCUAUGUUAUGCAUGGCCACAUAG